ensembl:snRNA U6 U6 spliceosomal RNA
UAGCUAUGGCAGCACAUAUAUAAAAAUUGGAACGAUACAGACAAGAUUGGCAUGUUCCUGCUGCAAGGAUGACAUGCAAAUUCCUGACACAGUCUAUAUUUGG